AUGUCCACUCACUCACUUGCCUCUAAAAUAAGCUCCCACUCCUUUUCUGAAUUGAAUUAGGUCUCUGAAAUUUAAGCUUAUAGAACCUACAGUGUCAAUCAGGUCUCUAAAAUUUAAGCUUAUAGAACCUACAGUGUCAAUCAGGUCUCUGAAAUUUAAGCUUAUAGAACCUAGGAAAAGAUUAGAAUUAAAAUCUAACAGUGCUGACUGAUGGCCACAGUGCUGUUUUGCUGUGCUUGAUAAACCUGAGACUUCUUUUUAUUGUAAUAUUGAAGUUGUUUGGUUCUGGCCUCAGCAGCAGUACACUCUAAUUUUGGUGGCCUUUAUGUUCAUUAUUUUACAGGAGCUCCAGGCCUAUUUUUAUGGAGUGUGAAGCCGUGAAGCCAAGUGUGAAGCUGUGAAGCCAAGUGUGAAGCAGUACUUAGCAAAGAGUUUUUGGUUCUGUACUUAGCAAAGAGUUUUUGGUUCUGAAGUGUGAAGCCACGUGUAAAUUGUAAUAUUGUAAAAGUCUAAUGUAGUGUUAAUGAAUUAUAUCUGUUCUGUCCUAUUUGAAAUAAUGAUUAUGUAUGUUGAAAAGAUGUGAAAUGGAAACUUGACCAG
rnacentral:lncRNA from 1 species